rnacentral:piRNA from 1 species
UGGGGCAAAGGCAGAGUGCUGCU